UACGUAGGGUGCAAGCGUUAUCCGGAAUUAUUGGGCGUAAAGCGCGCGCAGGCGGUCCUUUAAGUCUGAUGUGAAAGCCCACGGCUCAACCGUGGAGGGUCAUUGGAAACUGGGGGACUUGAGUGCAGAAGAGGAAAGCGGAAUUCCACGUGUAGCGGUGAAAUGCGUAGAGAUGUGGAGGAACACCAGUGGCGAAGGCGGCUUUCUGGUCUGUAACUGACGCUGAGGCGCGAAAGCGUGGGGAGCAAACAGG
rnacentral:rRNA from 1 species